GUCCUGGAAAUGUUCUAAAAACUGCUGAUGUAAUAACGUUUCCCAAGAUGAACAUUAACAUGUUAACAUGAGUUCUGAUUGGCCCUUUGUUUGCAUUGAUGUCCCCGCCACUAAAUAUAGGCCCCGCCCACAUCAAAUGGUCCAGAACAAAAUGCAGAUAAAAGAAGUUCAUGAAAAGGAAUGUGUUUCUUCCGCAGUCGGUGACGAGUCCACCGGACCGGCUACAGAAGAUCGUUAAGAAGAAGAAGAAUCCACAGCAUCAUCACCAGCUCGCUCUCCUUCCCUUCCUUCACUCACUCUGCUGUGCGUGAGACACAACGCCGUCACCGUUAAUGCCAGAUCCACAAGCUGAGAUCAUCUCCUAAUGUGGGUGCACGUGGACGUCUGUGACGCACAUCGCCGACGUAACCGCAGUGGAAACGCCCGUCUCUCUGAGUGCAGCCGGACCUGGUUCCUCCUCAUUUUCAUUUUCUACUGAACAUGGAGGAUUAACGCUAAUGCUGACGAGCGCUAUCGCUGAUCUGUCCUACUCCUGAAUCCAGCGGCGGAUUGGAACAUGCCCCUGACCCCCACCACCCCCGUCCCGUCCCCCACGCCCCCCACACCCCCUCGCCACCUCGCGGGGAAAUAAUUGCCGCUUUUUGUGUCACCCACUGAGGAAUUCUCGUAAGGAGUUCCUGCUCUGAAGAAAUUAUUACAGAAGGUGUGUUCUGAUUGGCUGACAAGUCCACACACUGUCUCAGCACAGUCUCUGUCCAUACCUGGUGGAGGUGAAAGGUUCCAGGACAGUUUAUUUUAUUUUAUAAACAGGCUACCGCUACAUUAUUGUUGUCACGGUAACAUCUCUGGGGGCGGUGUCUUACUUUGUUCUUUUAAUUAAAACAUUAAAACGUU